rnacentral:rRNA from 1 species
CCCUUAGAUGUUCUGGGCCGCACGCGCGCUACACUGACGAAUGCAACGAGCUUAUAACCUUGGCCGAAAGGUCUGGGUAAUCUCCAAAUUUCGUCGUGAUGGGGAUAGAUUAUUGCAAUUAUUAAUCUUCAACGAGGAAUGCCUAGUAAGCGCAAGUCAUCAGCUUGCGUUGAUUACGUCCCUGCCCUUUGUACACACCGCCCGUCGCUCCUACCGAUUGAAUGGUCCGGUGAAAUCUCGGGACGGCGGCUUGGUCGCUUGCGUCCGACUGCUGAAACUUGAUUAAACCAUAUCAUUUAGAGGAAGGUGAAGUCGUANCA